AAAAUAAGCCCAUUUUACACACUCCGAUCAUAGACCUAGUAUUACACAUCAAUUUUCAGUCACUCUGAGUGCUAGUUCCAAACUGAUCAAAGAAGCAAAUAAAUGAAAAACUCAUCGUUGAAACAAACAAAUGGAAUAUGAUAUGAACUUCACUAUGCAGUUAUUGUGCUUCACUCGAAGGAUGUUGAGAAUCAUACAAGAUAUGGUCCUGGUUUAUAUAUAUUAGCAAGGCCACAAAAGACCCAUAGCUUGAGAGUACCACAAAAGUCCAAAACAAUUGUUCUCAGUGGGCUCUCCACGUGGUGAAUUAAUUUGUUUCCGCCUGCACUAUGCAGUAAAUUAAAAUUGCACAAAAGUUUUUUUCAAUGGCACAAUAGUUUUAGUACUAUCCUCCUAAAACUAAUUUUUGUACUAUAAUGUUUGUUACUAAAGACAAGCUAAGAAGAUAUUAUGUUGUAAUAGUUUAUGCAAGCAGGUCGCCUAUACAACUAAAUGCCAU
rnacentral:rRNA from 1 species